GGGUUGUGAGGUUAAGCGACUAAGCGUACACGGUGGAUGCCCUGGCAGUCAGAGGCGAUGAAGGACGUGCUAAUCUGCGAUAAGCGUCGGUAAGGUGAUAUGAACCGUUAUAACCGGCGAUUUCCGAAUGGGGAAACCCAGUGUGUUUCGACACACUAUCAUUAACUGAAUCCAUAGGUUAAUGAGGCGAACCGGGGGAACUGAAACAUCUAAGUACCCCGAGGAAAAGAAAUCAACCGAGAUUCCCCCAGUAGCGGCGAGCGAACGGGGAGGAGCCCAGAGCCUGAAUCAGUGUGUGUGUUAGUGGAAGCGUCUGGAAAGGCGCGCGAUACAGGGUGACAGCCCCGUACACAAAAAUGCACAUGCUGUGAGCUCGAUGAGUAGGGCGGGACACGUGGUAUCCUGUCUGAAUAUGGGGGGACCAUCCUCCAAGGCUAAAUACUCCUGACUGACCGAUAGUGAACCAGUACCGUGAGGGAAAGGCGAAAAGAACCCCGGCGAGGGGAGUGAAAAAGAACCUGAAACCGUGUACGUACAAGCAG
rnacentral:rRNA from 1 species